rnacentral:rRNA from 1 species
UACGGAGGGAGCUAGCGUUAUUCGGAAUUACUGGGCGUAAAGCGCACGUAGGCGGCUUUGUAAGUUAGAGGUGAAAGCCCGGAGCUCAACUCCGGAACUGCCUUUAAGACUGCAUCGCUUGAAUCCAGGAGAGGUGAGUGGAAUUCCGAGUGUAGAGGUGAAAUUCGUAGAUAUUCGGAAGAACACCAGUGGCGAAGGCGGCUCACUGGACUGGUAUUGACGCUGAGGUGCGAAAGCGUGGGGAGCAAACAGG